AUUGAACGCUGGCGGCAGGCCUAACACAUGCAAGUCGAGCGGCAGCGCGGGGUAACCUGGCGGCGAGCGGCGAACGGGUGAGUAAUACAUGGGAAUCUGCCUAGUAGUGGGGGGAUAACUUCGGGAAACUGGAGGUAAUACCGCAUACGCCCUACGGGGGAAAGGGGGGGAUCUUCGGACCUCUCGCUAUUAGAGGAGCCCAUGUCCGAUUAGCUAGUUGGUGAGGUAAAGGCUCACCAAGGCGACGAUCGGUAACUGGUCUGAGAGGAUGGUCAGUCACACUGGAACUGAGACACGGUCCAGACUCCUACGGGAGGCAGCAGUGGGGAAUAUUGGACAAUGGGGGAAACCCUGAUCCAGCCAUGCCGCGUGAGUGAAGAAGGCCUCGGGUUGU
rnacentral:rRNA from 1 species